CGGAAUCUGCCUAUUUGUGGGGGAUAACGUAGGGAAACUUACGCUAAUACCGCAUACGACCUACGGGUGAAAGCGGAGGACCUUCGGGCUUCGCGCAGAUAGAUGAGCCGAUGUCGGAUUAGCUAGUUGGCGGGGUAAAGGCCCACCAAGGCGACGAUCCGUAGCUGGUCUGAGAGGAUGAUCAGCCACACUGGAACUGAGACACGGUCCAGACUCCUACGGGAGGCAGCAGUGGGGAAUAUUGGACAAUGGGCGCAAGCCUGAUCCAGCCAUGCCGCGUGGGUGAAGAAAGCCUUCGGGUUGUAAAGCCCUUUUGUUGGGAAAGAAAAGCAGUCGGUUAAUACCCGAUUGUUCUGGCGGUACCCAAAGAAUAAGCACCGGCUAACUUCGUGCCAGCAGCCGCGGUAAUACGAAGGGUGCAAGCGUUACUCGGAAUUACUGGGCGUAAAGCGUGCGUAGGUGGUUUGUUAAGUCUGAUGUGAAAGCCCUGGGCUCAACCUGGGAAUUGCAUUGGAUACUGGCAGGCUAGAGUGCGGUAGAGGGUAGUGGAAUUCCCGGU
rnacentral:rRNA from 1 species